rnacentral:lncRNA from 1 species
AUUCAUCCAAUCGUGCCUUCAGAUACUCUUUAUAGUUCUAGAUUUUUUAGCCAUCUGGGAUGGAGCAUCAAGAAGCUUCCUUUUAUUUGCCCCAUCUUCUAAAUUAUCAGGUGUUGUCUUCUGCUCAUCAUGAAAUGAUUCUGCAGGUAGUUUUGUCUUAGACAUCUGAUUUUGUGACCAAUUAGCUGAUUCCCUAUUGCUAACUUGUAAAGAGUUGCUUUUGCCGUUUUCUCCAAUGCUGCUAUUACCAGAGCAAGACUCCAAAAAGCGAUUAAUUGUAUCCCUGAGUGUCAUGUUUGGGAUCAGAUAAUCAGCAAGGACAUUUGUUGCUCCACAUGCACACUUCAAUUUACAGAUGAUAAGAUGGUCUCUAAUACAUUUAUCACAAAAGCUCUUGAAACAGCAUUUGCUAGUCAAUACAGCAUCUUUCAUUACUUGCUUGCACAAGGGGCAGAGAAGUUCUGGUGGAAGAUCACUAACAGACCAGGAUCUCUUUGGAGGGACGCAGCCAACAAUUUCCUUCUCAAAAGAACCAUCGUUUGGCCGCAAAACAGCUGUUGCACCACUUGGCAACGCAUAAGAGCCAUCUGGGUUUGGCAUCAGCAUCGACUUGGGAAUACCAGUAGGAGGCCUCACUCUCCUCAUAUCAUAAUUUGGAUCUCCAUUUGUUGGGCAAUGCUGAAUAAAAUGUCCAGGUACAUUGCACCUGUGACAUAUAUACCCCUCUGGAGGAGUUUUCUUCCCUAAUCCACCAAAACCAUGACCAUACAUUCUUCCAAAACCUCGAGUCCCAGAACCCGCACCAUCAGAACCUUCAAGCUGCCAGUCCAAGGCUGGAGUAUUGACUAAACCCUUAAUCUUGCUGUCCACAUCGGAUUCUGCAUCUACAAUUGACAUGCUAGACUGAACUGGCUUCAUUCUAGGAAUCGCAUAAACGUCAUCCCCAAACCCAUCACCAUAAUCAAAAUUAGAUUCUUCACUACAUUUUUUUGAGGACAAACUGGUAAGAGUACUUGCGGACACAGAACUAACACCAGUAUUUUCAGAGUUGCUUCCGAAUGAGGCAGUAACAACGGUUUCAGAGCUAGCAUUAAACGAACUAGAAUCUGUACGACAAGAGACACCAAGUGGCUGUUGCUUUUCAAUAACAACAACAGUUGCAGUGUCAUAAGGCUUGCGACGACGCGUUCCAGGAACACGGCGAAUCAAGACACUAGUGUUAUUAGGAAUCAACAUAUCAUCAACAUAACAAUCAUUAGUCUGGGAAUUAAUGACCAAAAGAUCCAAAUCAGUACCCAAACACAGCCCAUUAGAAUCAGUCUUAUAAGAUUUAUACUUAUAUUCAAAAAUUUUCCGUUUUAAAUCAUAGACGGAAAUAACAGAGGCAUCCACAGGGAUGGAAUCAUACUCUUUGGUACUGAGAAAUUUAAAAUAUAUUGGCAUUGAAUUGAAUAGUAAUGAAAGAAUAUACGAACAAGAGACAGAAAUUGCUAAUUCAAUCGUACACAAUAGUAUACAAGAGGAUCAAUAUGAUCAAAAUACGAUCUAAAUUGCGAAUUGCAUACAAAGGGUCUGUAAAAUUGAAACUCAAACCCCAAGUGAUGUACGCCAAUCUGCAGGAUGGUCGACUUCUAUUGCAAAUUUCAAGCGUUGCUGAUCUUAAAUUUGCCAGCGCAAGGUUUUUCCGAUACGGUAAGCUUCUAAUUCUUCAAUCGCCGCCAGCGUCGCCAAAGUUCUCCAAAUCCUCGAUCAAGACCGCCAAAAUAUUCCCAAUCAGCGUUGGAGCAAUGAUUUCUCCGAUACAGAGAGAGAGAGAAGAAGGAGCUUAAGAAAUGAUCCCUGUGAAAGAAGGAUAUUUAUAGAACAGGGACACGAAAACGCGUGACGUGCAAGCGUAGCCAGCCUAGACGGUUUUAUUGACUAUUUAACACCGUGGAAAAAGUCUUUAUAAUAGAAAUUUAUUCUUGGAGAAUUACUAUCAUAUUUUUUUCAAAAAUUUAUUAAUUUAUUCUUAUUUUAAUAUCAAUUAAUUAAAACGUUCAAUUAAAAUUUUUAAUUAUUUUAUUAUAAAAAUCUUUAAAUAAUUUAUUUUAAUUUUAAAUUAAAUUUAAAAAUUUAUAAUAAUAAUUUAUAAUAUCAUAGAUACUUCCUCUUGUUGCUUCACCUACAAGAAAGUGCCAUCUUCCGUCGGUGCUUAUGUUUCAUGAUAUUAUUCUAAUGAGAUCAGGAAUUUUUAACCUUCUUUUUCUUUUUCUUUUUUUAUUAUAUUAUAUAGCCGUUUUGAUUUAGGAGUUUUUUUUUUUUUUAUUGAGAUUCCAAAGAAAAUUUAAUUACAUGAUUACCUACCAAAUAUCACAUGAAUGUAACUUGCAAAUGCGAUACGCAUUGAAAGAACAACAGAAAUAGAAUAAGCAACAAAUAUUGGGCAAUAAUGGGAAUUUUAUUAAAGUAUCAACCCAGCAAUUAAAAUUUACAGGUCUAAAACUACAACCAUCUUCACCUACUCGACCUUAGGUUACUACCCAAUUAUACGUAUUAGCCCUGAAAGAAACUAGAGAAGAAGAAUGAUUGCGGUUACUCAUUGUCCGAGCUUUGCAUCAACAGCUUCAUUGCCUGCGACCCAUUUGCUGCAUACUGAAACAGGCUCCAUUCAUCACACCAUUGAAUGCUGUGCCGAAGGGGCUCAGCCCGUAAUUCAUUGCACCACCAGCAUAACAAGGUGCCACAUAUCCUUCCAUCCCCACCUGCACGCCAGCCCAGUAUGGAUUAUAUGCAUAAGAUCCAACAGGCAUCAAGUACCCUUCACACUCCUCAUCAUAAUUUUUCUUGCCUCUCCUUUUCUUUCCUCCCUUAACAGAAACCAACUUCUGCUGAACUUUAUCCUCAACCACUUCCUUCUCUUUAUUUCCUUUUCCUCCCUCACUAGAGAACACCAAAACACUUCCUUGUGAUUGUGAUGCCGUAUCGUUCAUUCUCGUUGAUCCAAUCGCGCCUUCAGAUACUCCUGUAGUUCUAGCUUUUUUAGUCAUCUGGGAUGGAGCAUCAAGAAGCUUCCUUUUAUUUGCCCCAUCUUCUAAAUUAUCAAGUGUUGUCUUCUGCUCAUCAUGAAAUGAUUCUGCAGGUAGUUUUGUCUUAGACAUCUGAUCUUGUGACCAAUUAGCUGAUUCCCUAUUGCUAACUUGUGAAGAGUUGCUUUUGGCGUUUUCUCCAAUACUGCUAUUACCAGAACAAGACUCCGAAAAGCGAUUAAUUGUAUCCCUGAGUGUCAUG